UCAGUUUGAAAGUCAGCAAAUUAUCUCGUGUGGUAAAGGCCUGGAGAGACUCAGUCUGACCACACCAGUCAACCAGGGAGCUGCUGCUUUUCUGCCUUGCGAAGGCUGUCUUCUGCUUCCCUCUGGUCUAAACCCCAGACUUCCAGUUUACUCUCUCUCUCUCUCUCUCUCUUGUUGCAAGUCGCAAAGAAGCCGCAGUAAAGGCACUGCCUCAUUUCAUUGGGGAACCUCAAACCGGGUUUUCAAAUUCUUGAUUGUGAUAUGCUCUUCUUUUGUUGUUCUCUUUGUUUUUAUUUUUAUAUACAAGUGAUAUUAAGAGACGGGUUUCAAACAUAGAAUAUUUAGUGUACGGAUAACAGCUGUUAACUACUUAAAUUAUAAUCCCCGUGCUAUUCUUUU